rnacentral:rRNA from 1 species
UACGAAGGGGGCGAGCGUUGUUCGGAUUCACUGGGCGUAAAGGGCGCGCAGGCGGCUCAUUUUGUCAGGCGUGAAAGCCCCGGGCUUAACCUGGGAACUGCGUUUGAUACGGAUGGGCUAGAGUUCGGGAGAGGAGAGUGGAAUUCCCAGUGUAGAGGUGAAAUUCGUAGAUAUUGGGAAGAACACCGGUGGCGAAGGCGGCUCGCUGGACCGAUACUGACGCUGAGGCACGAAAGCGUGGGGAGCAAACAGG